rnacentral:rRNA from 1 species
UACGGAGGGUGCAAGCGUUAUCCGGAUUCACUGGGUUUAAAGGGUGCGUAGGCGGGCAGGUAAGUCAGUGGUGAAAUCCCCGAGCUUAACUUGGGAACUGCCGUUGAUACUAUCUGUCUUGAAUACUAUGGAGGUAAGCGGAAUAUGUCAUGUAGCGGUGAAAUGCUUAGAUAUGACAUAGAACACCAAUUGCGAAGGCAGCUUGCUACACAGUUAUUGACGCUGAGGCACGGGAGCGUGGGGAGCGAACCGG